GUAGUCCACGCCGUAAACGUUGGGCGCUAGGUGUGGGGGGACUUUCCACGUCCUCCGUGCCGCAGCUAACGCAUUAAGCGCCCCGCCUGGGGAGUACGGCCGCAAGGCUAAAACUCAAAGGAAUUGACGGGGGCCCGCACAAGCGGCGGAGCAUGUGGCUUAAUUCGACGCAACGCGAAGAACCUUACCAAGGCUUGACAUACGCAGAAAUCCGGCAGAGAUGUCGGGUCCGCAAGGGCUGCGUACAGGUGGUGCAUGGUUGUCGUCAGCUCGUGUCGUGAGAUGUUGGGUUAAGUCCCGCAACGAGCGCAACCCUCGUUCCAUGUUGCCAGCGGGUAAUGCCGGGGACUCAUGGGAGACUGCCGGGGUCAACUCGGAGGAAGGUGGGGAUGACGUCAAAUCAUCAUGCCCCUUAUGUCUUGGGCUGCACACAUGCUACAAUGGCCGGUACAAAGGGCUGCUAAGCCGUAAGGUGGAGCGAAUCCCAAAAAGCCGGUCUCAGUUCGGAUUGGGGUCUGCAACUCGACCCCAUGAAGUCGGAGUCGCUAGUAAUCGCAGAUCAGCAACGCUGCGGUGAAUA
rnacentral:rRNA from 1 species